rnacentral:sRNA from 1 species
AACCCCAGCCAGGCUGGAGGUUCCGGAAAGCUUUCAAUUUUGAGACAGUUAUUAAAACCCCUUGCGGUCUGGCAACUGCAAAAGUUAAACAAGAAAUCAAAAG